rnacentral:misc_RNA from 1 species
AACGCACGAGACCUGCGGACCUGCGGAGGGAUCAUUACCGAGUUCUCGCCCCUCGCGGGGUAGACCUCCCACCCACUGUGAUCACUACCGUCGUUGCUUUGGCGGGCCGCUGGGCCCAGCCCACCGCCGGCCCCGGCUGGCGCGUGCCCGCCAGAGGCCCUACAAACGCUGGAUAUUAGUGCCGUCUGAGUACACAUGUUAAUCGUUAAAACUUUCAGCAACGGAUCUCUAGAUCGGAAG